UCCGCAAGCUGUCAACAAAGGAGGCUCAGGUUUGGCAUCGGGAGGCCGCCCCGCUACCCGCCCUGCGCCUAGCUCAGCCCCGGCCCACCAGCCACCUUAAGUGGCCAAGGGGGCGAGGAAAAUGCUGCCAGGGUUUGGGGAUUCGGGUGGAGGCCCUGCGAGCCCAGCUGGCUUAGCCUUCGGUGUGGCGGGGUAGGAAGUGGGUUGUGUGUGUCAGGACCCAAGCACAGAGGGUGAGGACAGUAGGGGACGGAAGCUCUCCCUCCCUUGACAACACCUGUCACCGCGCGCGCAUACGGCACACUCUCUUCAUUUUUAAUUCGAGUGAGGGGUGAAUGGGAAGGAACAGGACUUGUCUACUGGGUUUGAGACAGGGGUCUCGGAAUUUGUGAGACUAGAUGUCUUCGCGUGGAUUUCAAAAAGCCACCAAGCUGCCGGAUGAGGGAUCCUGGGUGUCUGUCAAGUCCUGACUUGGAUGGGGGCGAUGGGGACAUGGGAGGGGAGCUUCUUGUGUCCAGACCUGGAGAGCCUGCCUGGCAGGGGAAUCAGAGAGAUGGAGAUCUGGUCUCCCCAUCCAGACAGUCUAGUCUAUCCUCUUACGUGUGGCUUGACUGAAUCUAAACCACAAUGUAUUAAGGAAGAUGAUUUGAAGAAGAUGCUAGAAGAUUUUGGAACACUUUCCCUAUUUGUUCAAUGCAUAGAACAUCAGUCUGGCCGGCUACACCAAAGACCACCAGUGGUCGGGUUGGAAAUAAAGCUUGAAGUGGAACAUUAGGGCCUUCUUGUUCUAAAUCAAGUGCUGCAUGAUCCUGAGAUCACAUCUCUUCCUCAUGCCUCAAUUUAAUCACAUUUUAGGAAGAUAAAAAUACAAGUUAAGUAAUUUUCUGAUACUGUCCUCCCAUCCCCACUUACAUGGUCCAGAAGUAAAUUCUAGCAUAAAGAGCAAGGAAGCAUAAAAUGGAAGAGACCCCUCUACUCACCCCAUCUUUCACUCCUAUGCCUCCCAUCUCCUUACUGAACAAGGGAAGAGAAAGAGGAAUUGAGGAAGAGAGAAAGAGAGAGCACAUUUUGCCAGCAGGUGACAACAUGCCAUCCUGUUUCCACAUUGCCCCUGAACAGGGUCUGAGAUCUGUGUUCUGUGAGACUGUGGAAAUAUCUGCCAUCAGCACAGCAAUGGGAGCAGCACUAAGCUUGCCUGCUGGGAGGUAACCUGAAUGAAAUACCCCUAACUUCUCUAGACCUCAGUUUUUCCAUCUAUAAGGUGGGAAUUUCUACCUUCAAUCUCCAGAUAGCCUAAGGA